UAAGUCACUUCAGAGGUCUUAUUAGGUUUCAAAAACAGUGUUUUCAGUUUUAGAAGUGUUUAUUUCUCGCUUUUUUCCAAAACCUGAGAACAUAU